rnacentral:rRNA from 1 species
GAAACCAACAGGGAUUGCCUCAGUAACGGCGAGUGAAGCGGCAAAAGCUCAAAUUUGAAACCCUCGGGAUUGUAAUUUGAAGAUUUGGCAUUGGAGAAAGCUAACCCAAGUUGCUUGGAAUAGUACGUCAUAGAGGGUGACAACCCCGUCUGGCUAACCGUUCUCCAUGUAUUGCCUUAUCAAAGAGUCGAGUUGUUUGGGAAUGCAGCUCAAAGUGGGUGGUAAACUCCAUCUAAAGCUAAAUACUGGUGAGAGACCGAUAGCGAACAAGUACUGUGAAGGAAAGGUGAAAAGAACUUUGAAAAGAGAGUGAAAUAGUAUGUGAAAUUGUUGAUAGGGAAGGAAAUGAGUGGAGAGUGGCCGAGGUUUCAGCCGCCCCUCGUGGGCGGUGUACUGCCGACGCCGAGUCAUCGAUAGCGAGACGAGGGUUACAAAUGGGAGCGCCUUCGGGCGUUCUCCCCUAACCCUCCACACUGCCACCGACGAC